UGGGUUAGGGUAAACUAUUAAGAUUUAAACUUACUCAUUUUACCUUCCACCAUGGGACUUGUAACCGUCACUUCUGUCUUGAGUAGUUAAAAGAUAGAACGGUCUAGUCAAGCACCAUGUCUCUUAUUCUUGAUCAGCUAUAGCUCUGGAGUUUUUGCAGAUUUUCAAAUAAAACUCAGAGAUUCCUUGUAUGACUCUGUCUAGUCUCUUUUUUGUGGUAUUUCUGGAUCCUUACCAAGGCAUUAAUGGUGUAUGCCUUCUCUCAAAGUAUGUGGUAUUUGUGGUAUAAGGCAUAGUGGCAUUGCCUUCUCUCUCACCCUACUCUAAUAAGGCUUUUGAUAUCUGGAGCUCAUAGGUGGGAGACAGCUAAUACAUACUUACAAGACAUUUAUUGCAUAGUCAAACCAUGAAUCCAGAAGAACAAGUCAAUAAGUCAAAUCAAGAUGUGCAUGUGUGGCGAAUGAAUGGUGCAUGGUAAUGAUGGUGAUAACAAUGGUGAAAGUCUAAUUCUACUUUUGCUCUUUUGAGGGGAUACAUACCUUCCUUGCUCUUUUGAAACUUUUUUUUGAGGAGAAUGAGAUGCUCUAUAUUUUCUUUUCUUCUUUUUUUUCUCUCAGGUGGGUAUCUUGUACCCCUAAUUCUACUAUCGGACACUUGUCCAUUUUUACGUCUCGUCUCACUUUUUUUUCUUUCGAGGUUCCGGGCACUUGCCCCUUUUUAUUUCCUCGUAUUCUUUUCUCUUCUUUUUUUUCUCUUUUUUUUCUUCUUUUUUUGAGAGCACUCAUUUCCUAAAAUAAUAUAGCAAAUGGUAGUAACCAAGAUAACUUGAGCAUUUAUUUCAAGGGGAAAACAGAAAUAGGAGAAUGUUUUUAGCUAUUCUCUCCCGGAUUAGGAGUAUAAUAUUUUUGGAUGGUUCUGGAGAUGGAAAUGAGUGGAUGUAUGUGGAUGCGUACUUCCAGAGUAGAAGCAGCAUGUAUGAGUGAACUUGCAAGUGAAUCUUAAUUUAACCACAUGACAAGCUCCUAAGGGUCUACACAGCUUGACCACACUCAAUGCUCAUAAGCAGUAAAAUGUAAAUGUGUGGCUCAAAGUCUAGCAAGCAUGUAUAUAUGGUUGUGGUAGGAAUUUAAACUCUCAUCAUACAGGAACUCAUCAUGUGAUAUUUUAAAGAUUUUCAAAGAUAAAAUUCUCCAGAAUUCUAGCAUCUCUAGGAACAGAUAAACAGCAGCUCAACCUUCCCAUAUCGUAUCCGUUAACGACUUAGACUUUAGAUCAAGUACUCUCCCCACAAGUUCAGGUUUAGAGCAAAUCUUAAUUAAUACCAGUCAUGCCUAAACUUAAGAGAGAUUUCAAUUUUGAGAACUAGUCAUGGUAGAGCAACUAUUCAUCAUUUCCAUGUGAGAGCUUAUCAUGAGGGUUCAUAGCAAACUUUAUUUAUUUAUUUAGCAAACUAAGCAAGGAUAUAUAUAAGCACAAAAUCUUUAUUUGGGUUUUUAUGAUUAUGCAUCUUUUUAUUAUUUAAGUAAAGUAUAAACAUGAGUAGAGCACUUAGCUGGAUAAAUGGGGUUGCUCUCCCCCAAGCUGGGUUUUGACGUAAUUCCUUCUGAUGUAGCUAGCAGGUGGCGGAGGUGUAUUUGAAUGUUGGCAGCACCCUAACAGUGAUUAAUACGUCCUUCGUCUACUAGUCUUCUUUGAUCCUUGAAUUAUGUGGAGCUCAAAUAGACAACAAAGCUUUGUUGAACUGGUUAAGUGUUAGCAUAAAUAUCUAGCCUUUAUCAUGUUGAGCCUCCUCAAUAAAUGUUACUCACUUUGGUAGGAUCAUAAAUUUGUUUUUAUAAUUUUAUUUUUAUAGGACAGGAAUAUAUUUAUUUUAUUUUUAUGCCACCACAGUGAAUGUACUUAUGGGUUUUAUGCCAUGAGCAUACUCACAUGGGGCUUACUAUUUUUAACAAUUUUAUUUUCUUUUUAAGAUGAUAUGAACCUGAUUAACUAAGCAAACUAUUUUAAAUAAUUGAAAGGGAAAAAGGAUAACUACCAAGUUUACCUCUUGGCAAGGCGUUCGGUGUUUUAAAGUCCUCCGAACAGGACUCUCUAUUUUCUCAGUUGUCUUGGGAUUUGCUGGAUGGCGUACUCGGUGGUUCCGGCAGCGCCUGGUCUUCAUGUAUAACUAUCUUCUCUCUCCACACCUGACUCUUUGCUACGGUCUCCUCAGGACAGUUCUGUUCAAGCUGUAUGUCUUCAGACCUUACGACUUCUCCUUCAUAGUCUGCCCAUCCGUCCUUGAUGAUUUGCCUCCUCUAGUUGCGGUUGCGUCGUCUUCUUCUUGCCCUAACCUGCUUAGAGUCUUCAACUAUAUAGUUAGGGUCAGUAAAAUAGUAGCGUACCUUCUCAGAGGGGAAGUGCAUGUGGACUUCUCCGGUUCCAAUGUAGAUAAUUGCUUUAACAGUGCUGAGGAAUGGUCUUCCAAGGAUGAUGGGUGGAUCGUACUUGUCUUCUCCCAUGUCAAUAACCUUAAAAUCAUCUGGAGCUGAAUGUAUGUUGGUUGUAGGGACAUGGUUCCAUGCAGGAGCUGAUAAGUGACUGCGGCCAUUAUGUUGAUGUUAGAUCCGGUGUCGUAGAGUGUCUUCUGAAAAGAAUAUCCGUUGAUUGUGCACUCGAUGCUUGGAACACCAGGGUCGUCCUUCUUGAUCAAGAAAGGUGACUUGAGUUGACGAUCUUGACCUCCUUGAGCUGCAGUGACCAUCUUAGCUGACUUGGUCCACAUUUGCUUGUUCCUGUUCCUCUUGUUGGUCCUUCCUUGGUUCAUGUCAGGAUUGCUCUAAGAUUUGUGUAGUCUUGUUGUUGAAGGAAAACGUCUCCUUCCUUCCCUUGAUAUAGAAACUGAUCUUGGCAGCACUAGCGUAGAUGACAGCUCCCGAGGUGUUCAGGAAUGGCCUCCCUAGGAUGAUGGGUGCCCUCUCAUCAGUAUCAGUCUCUAUCACCACGAAGUCUGCUGGAGCGUAUAAGGUACCAACUCAGACGUAGAGGUUCUUCAAUAUUCCCUUUGGGAAACUUAGUGUCUGAUCUGCAAGCUGCAAACACAUGGUUGUUUCUAGGAAAGGAUGUGUAAAGAAUUUUUCAUAGAGUACCCUGAGCAUAAUGUUGACGCUGGAGCCAAAGCUGCAGAGUGCUUCUCGGAAGUCCACCAUGCCGAUGGAGAUCGGGAUGACGGGACGUCCUGGAUUGUAUCUCUUGACCGGCAGAAGGUCAGUAAUUACUUCCACAACAGGGUUACUCCAGUAGUUACGUCCUCAAGCAUCUCAGGGCAGUGAUUGCCUGAGUGUCCAGUAUCUCCAGAGUGUUUGUGCUCGUAGAUCUAGGUUCUUCACUUGGUGGAGUCUGGGAGUUAUAAAAGUCCUUCAUAUUUUGCUCGAAAUGUACCUACUCAUAGAGACAAGGCAGAGAUCAAGUGCAUGGGCCCUGUUGGUGGAAAACACCAACAGAACCAAAAGUGUAUUUGUUCUUCUCUAACCUCAAGCAUAGUGAGCAAGACAAAGUUGAUGGAUAAUAAAAUCAUGAGUGUAGUAUUUAACAUUUGUCAGAUUAGAUUGCUCAACCUUAUGGAAAGAUAAUCUAUCUAUAUAUAUGUUUUGUUUAUAUCUUCCAAAGAUUGAGUGUGCAACAUUUUAGCUAAUAUGAUUAUGAGUGUGAAAUCACAAAGGUGGAAGGACUAAACAUGUUGAAUCGAUUGGGUUGGUUAAUCUAGAGUUGUAGAUCAUACAUGUUUGUCUCUUUUAUUCAUGUGAACGCCAGAACCAAGGAGAAGCUUAUAGAAGUGAUAGUCAAGUACUUUAAGAUGUUACCUUUCUUGAAGAGUGAUGGUGCAGUAUUACCUUAUGGAAGCUUUCCUUUCUUUGCGGUUGUGCAUCGUGUUGGUGGCACCCUCCAUGGAUCAUCUCUUGUGAGCUAUGUCUUCCUUGUGUAAAUUGUUAAACUUCAUGUGUGUCUCUCUUUGUCUCCAAUGUGAGUUUAUCUCAGGACUUCCUAGGUCGAUAUUGAAAGUUUUCUUUUUUUUCUGCAGGGGUUAGUCUGACAAAAUAUACCGAUCUCUACACAAGCAGUUUUUAGUUCAAUAACCAAACUAGACUCCAUGUCUAAUUAGAUUAAGGAAGGCUGUUUAACCUAAGCACCAUGUACUUCCAAACUAACACUUACUAGGAUAAACAAAGGUAGCGUGAUGGCUUUUAUAGAGAUCUCAAGUGGAGAUGAAGUAGUGUGAUUAGUAUUUAACAAAUUGAGCAUGUCUCAAAGGUAGGGACAACCAACAUAGCAACAUGGCAAAUUAUGUUUUUAUAAAGUACUCCCCCAAGCUUGAAUUUUGCAAAAUUCAAGUUUGGAUGAAUUUAAUUCAAUGUUGUAUGAUGAUUGGUUGUACAUACCUUGUGCUUGUCAUUCAUCUGAUCUUCUUGCUCCAAUCCUAGAAAGGUUAGUGACAAGAAUACCCGAAGGAAUUUUUUUACAAUUAUCCUUAUAUGCUCAAUACACAAGGUAAUGUUGCAAAUAAUUAAAAGCUCAUGUUACGAUCUGAUCAGUGCUUGUUUUAGGACACUAAGCUUGUCCUUGGGAAACCAUUAAUUUAUGUCGGUGAAGUGGUUUCCCCUCCAACGCUGACCUAUAUCAAGAUUGACUCAACAAGAUCUGCAAUAUUUCUUAUAGACAUAUGCAUCGACAACCGCCCUUUUAAAGUUUUUAUAAAUAGAAAGGAUGAGGGGGUUGGAGAUCUCGAAUGUGGUGAUGUUGGAGAGAUCAAUGGAUUGUGAAGAUGUUGCAUAUGAGCAUGGAGCAAAUGAAGUGGCUAUGAAAUAAAUUCCAUGCUCAUUAAUGCUUAGAGUGAAAUCCAUGUGGUAUAGUGAAAGUGAUAAGCACUAGUACAAAAAUCGUUUUUGCUGGCACGUUGUUUUUUUUUCACUGGCGGUUCACAAUAUCAUGGCGCUAGUAGAAAAAUUUCAGAGGCCCCAACAAGAAAACCUCCUGUGUAAACACGUUUACACAGGCGGUCUUCUUAACUACACCGCCUGUGUAAACUUCACAUUUACACAGGCGGCUUACAAUACAAACCGCCUGUGUAAAUACCAUUAACACAGGCGGCCGAUUUAAGACAACCGCCUGUGUAAAUGUGUCUGUUUACACAGGCGGUUUGUAUAGAGGACCGCCUGUACUAAUGUAUUUACACAGGUGGCCCUCUUUAUGAGCCGCCUGUGCUAAGUCUGCUAUAAAUACCCUUUGUCCACCUCCAGACAAGAACAGUUACUCCCGUGAGCUCACGGACCAGGCGGACCAGACGAUUCCAGUUUCCAAGGGGGGAGGUUUUGAUCCUCAUUUCUUUGGUGAGAAACUUCCAAAAGGUUAGUUGGAGCCCUUGAUGCUAUUUUUUUAGUGAUACUAUGGUUCAAUUCUUGUAUUGGAGGUGCUCUAGAUCUAGAGUUCAUGAACCAUUCUUGCUUAGGGUUAGGGUUCAUAGGGCAAGAGAGAGAAUUUUAGCUAAAUUUUUAUGUAAAUUCAUAGUAAAUUGUAGAAAUUAAAAAAAUAGAAAAUAAAUACUUUUUAGAAUUCUUGUGAGUAGAUCUAUACAAUAGAGUAAUGAUGAGGACAUUUUGAAGUUUAUAAUUUUGAUUCAGUUUUAACUUUUCUUUUUUCAGAUGAAUUAGACUUUAUAAACUCAAACAUUAAAAUGUUGAAAAUCAUAAAAUGGCAAAUAAAUACUUUUUCAAAUCUUUGUGCAUAAAUACUUCAUAGAAAUCCUUGAAUUAUUCCUAAAUUUUAUACAAUUAUUUCUUAUAUUUAUGAAAAUGGGCUUCAACAAUUAUUUAAAUUCCAUAAAUUGUAAACUCUGUAAGGGGUAGGUUUUCAUCUCUGUUUAGUAGAAGGAGGUUAGUAUCUUAGUUAAAUCUGUUUUCGGGAGUUAUAUUAGUUUUGUUUUUAGAUUGACCUACAUUAAUUGUUCUUAACUAAUUACAGCUAAAUAUGGAGAGGUCAUUAUGGAUGUACAACUUAUCAAGAUUGGACCCAUCAUAUGUAGUGGAGGUCCAAAAGUUUAUUGAUGUUGCAAAGAUACAUGCUCGCAGAACAAAGGCGAAGCACAUAUGUUGUCCAUGCGCAGACUGCAAAAAUAUUGUGGUAUUUGACAAUGUAGAAGCAAUUACUUCCCAUCUGGUUUGUAGAGGAUUUAUGGAGGACUACUUGAUUUGGACAAAACAUGGUGAGGGUAGUUCUGCACCUUAUAUGCGGACAACAGACAACACUGCAACUAACGUCAAUGUGGAGGAUCAAAUGCCACCUCUCAAUGAAUUUCAUGCUAUGUCAGGUGUCAAUGAAACUCAUACGUCUGAUGUCAAUGACACAGAUGCUGUUGAAGAUGUAGAUUUCUUAGAGGCAAUAAUGAACCGUUGUGCAGAUCCAUCAAUAUUCUUCAUGAAGGGAAUGGAAGCAUUGAAGAAGGCAGCAGAGGACACUUGGUACGACGAGUCGAAUGGUUGUACCAAAGAGUGGUCGACAUUACGUGCUGUUCUUCAGUUUUUGACGAUGAAGGCUAGACAUGGUUGGUCCGAUGCUAGCUUCAAUGAUUUCUUGCGUGUACUUGGAGACCUUCUUCCUAAGGAGAACAAAGUGCCUGCUAACACAUACUAUGCAAAGAAGCUAGUCAGUCCACUUACGAUAGGUGUUGAGAAGAUCCACGCAUGUAGAAAUCAUUGUAUUCUAUAUCGGGGUGAUCAAUUUAAAGAUUUAGAUAGUUGUCCAAACUGUGGUGUCAGUAGAUACAAGACAAACAAAGAUUAUCGGGAGGAAGAGAAUCUAGCCUCUGUUUCUACAGGGAGGAAGCGAAAGAAGACCCAAACAAAGACUCAACAAGACAAACGCUCGAAGCCUAGUAGCAAUGAAGAAGUGGACUAUUAUGCAUUGAGAAGAAUUCCUGCUUUGGUGAUAUGGUAUCUCCCCGUGGUUGAUCGUUUGAGGUGUUUGUUUGCAAACCCUGAAGACGCUGAACUUAUGACCUGGCAUGCUUCAGAUGAAAGGAAAGAUGAUGGAAAGUUACGACAUCCAGCCGAUGCAAAGCAAUGGAAAGAUUUCGAUAAGAAAUAUCCAGACUUUGCUGACGAUCCACGAAAUGUAAGGUUUGCACUGAGUACUAAUGGAAUGAAUCCAUUUGGCGAAAGGAGCAGCACGCACAGCACAUGGCCGGUGAUCCUGACAAUAUACAACCUUCCUUCAUGGUUGUGUCAAAAGAGAAAAUAUCUUUUGCUAACCAUUCUUAUUUCUGGACCUACACAACCUGGAGUUGAUAUGGAUGUAUUUCUAGAGCCCUUAAUGCAAGACAUGCAAACACUAUGGGAAGUAGGUGUGGACAUGAUCGAUGCGUUCCACAAAGAGACAUUCACAAUGAGAGCAAUUAUUAUUGUCACAAUUAAUGAUUACCCUGCUCUCUUCUCAUUAUCAGGUCAGUUCAAGGGAAAGGUUGGUUGUGUAGAGUGCAUAGAUGGAACAUGGCACGUGUCUCUUCCUGCAUCUAACAAGAUAGUGUACAUGAGGCACAGAAGAUGGCUACCGGCAGGCCAUAAGUACCGCUUACAAAAGAUGAAUAAGUACUUCGACAAUAUUGAUGAAUCAAAAUCUACUGCUCCAUCAGGUUGUAGUAAAGGGCAUAGAGUGUACAAGAUAGUUGAGAAUGUGAAGUUUGUUUUUGGAAAGAAGACCAAAGAUGGGAAACCAAGAAAGGUUGUCAAGGCAAAUGAAGGGGACACAUUCAAGAGGAAGUCCAUUUUCUUCAAGUACUUAUCGUACUGGAAAGACUUGGACGUACGACAUGCGAUCGAUGGUAUCCAUGUUCAGAAGAAUGUGUUUGAAAGUGUAAUUGGAACCUUGUUAGACAUCAAGAGCAAGACAAAGGAAGGUCUCAAUUCAUGUUUGGACAUGCAACAUUUAAAGAUCAGAAAAGAACUUCACCCUGUACUCCUAGAGAAUGGGAAGUACCACCUACCGGCAGCAAGCUACAACCUGAACAGAGAGGAGAAACAUGCAAUGUGUGUGUGGUUGAAGAAUUUAAAAGUUCCAUCUGGUUUCUGCUCCAACAUAAGAAGUCUUGUGUCAAUGAAAGACCUUACAUUCACCAACUACAACUCACAUGAUUGUCAUGUCAUGCUGACCACUUUCCCUCCUAUCGCCAUCAGGGCUAUAAAUCCAGUGUUCUUAAAGAUGGCAAUCACACGGUUGUGCUACUUCUUGAAUAAGAUAUCUGAGAAGGUAAUUGUCCGUGAUGAGUUAGAGUCCCUACAAAAAUUUGCUGCAGAGACAUUGAGCCAGUUGGAGAUGUGCUUUCCAACAUCGUUCUUUGAUAUAAUGGUACACCUUGUUGUUCAUUUGGUACCUCAAAUAGAGGCAUUAGGUCCCAGUUAUUUCCAUGAAAUGUGGACGUAUGAGCGUUUCAUGUCAAUAUUGAAUGGCUAUAUGUCAAAUCGUGCUCAUCCAGAGGGUUCCAUGAUAGAGGCGUACACUACAGAAGAGGCCAUUGAGUCUGGAGGACCAUUAUGUAAUAAUCUCCUAAAAGACCAGGUAUCAAUUGGUUUGCCUCCAUUGCGACAUGAGGGAAGGCUUGAUGGACGCGGGAGAAUGGGACGGAAAUCAUUCAUCCCACCAGAUUACAACAUAGUCCUAGAGGCACAUUAUAGCAUACUACAACAACUCAUAAUAAUGGACCCAUUCAUUGAGCAGCACAUGAAAGAGCUUCGUGAGAAGAAUCCAGGAUGCACAAAUGAUUGGGUACACAAGGAACACAAGCGUCAGUUCACCACAUGGUUAAAGGAUUUGGACAUGACAGAGGAAUCAGAAACCAUUAAGAUGUUAGCAUCUGGACCAUCAAGCCAGGUCACAUCAUGGCAGAGCUAUGACAUUAGUGGCUUUUCAUUUUCCACCAGCUAUAGGGACACCAAGAGCAUGGGACAGAAUAGUGGCGUUCGAUGCGAGGCUAUAGAUGAUGCAACUGGUGAAACAAAUACAUACUUUGGGUUCAUUGAUGACAUAUGGGAGGUAGAAUAUGGUCCACUCCUGCAGAUUCCAGUGUUCCGAUGCCGAUGGGUUCAAGAUAAACAUGUCACUGUGGAUAACUAUGGCCAGAGAGUUCUUGACCUAAGUAAAGUAGGUUAUAAAGAUGAUCCGUGGAUCCUUGCUAACCGUGCCGCACAAGUCUUCUAUGUGGAACAAAUCCUUUCUAAGGAUGAAAAGAAAAAUAGCCACAAGCCAAAGCAUAUAGUUAUUCCUGGAAAGCAACAAAUUAUAGGAGUUGAUGGUGUAAUGGAUUUGGAGGAUGUUAACCAAUUCAGCGAGAUGUCUCUUUUUACAAACUUUCAAGAAAACAUAAAAAAUGUUGAGAAAAGUAUCCUACAAUCCUCAUUGCCAUGGGUGCGCCACGAUGGACAAGGAAGGAUUGUAGCACGCUAAAUUCUAUAAGUUAUCAUUACUCAUGUAACUCAUGUAUCACUUAUCAUUUGUACCUUAUGCUACUAUUUCUUAUUAAGCAACAUGUUUACAUUUUUCAUUUGUUUUAUAAUAUUUGCACUCCUUUUGUAUUUUAUAACAAAGCACUCCUUUUGUAUUUUAUAAUAUUUGAACAAUUUAUUAUAUAUUUUACAGGCGGCUGUAAAUGAAAACCGCCUGUACUAAUCUAUUAGUACAGGCGGCUCUCAAAGACGUCCGCCUGUAGAAAUCCAAACCUAUUUAUACCUAGAGCGCGGGCCGUAAAAUUUUUCAACUCCCGGUGGCGCGAGGUUGACGAAAGACGCUGUUAGGCUGCCGAAAUCCACCGCCGCGCCAGCCAUCUCUCGCCGGAGCCCGCCCGCGACGCUGCUGCCCUGCCUCCGCGCCCCCGCCGCGAGCCACUGCGCCGCCGAGGAGAGCCCGUGCGCCGCCGCCACCGAGGACGUCCGCGUGCCGCCGCCGCCGCUGACGCCGCCGCCACGCGCCACACCUCCGCGCCGCCGACGNNNNNNNNNNNNNNNNNNNNNNNNNNNNNNNNNNNNNNNNNNNNNNNNNNNNNNNNNNNNNNNNNNNNNNNNNNNNNNNNNNNNNNNNNNNNNNNNNNNNNNNNNNNNNNNNNNNNNNNNNNNNNNNNNNNNNNNNNNNNNNNNNNNNNNNNNNNNNNNNNNNNNNNNNNNNNNNNNNNNNNNNNNNNNNNNNNNNNNNNNNNNNNNNNNNNNNNNNNNNNNNNNNNNNNNNNNNNNNNNNNNNNNNNNNNNNNNNNNNNNNNNNNNNNNNNNNNNNNNNNNNNNNNNNNNNNNNNNNNNNNNNNNNNNNNNNNNNNNNNNNNNNNNNNNNNNNNNNNNNNNNNNNNNNNNNNNNNNNNNNNNNNNNNNNNNNNNNNNNNNNNNNNNNNNNNNNNNNNNNNNNNNNNNNNNNNNNNNNNNNNNNNNNNNNNNNNNNNNNNNNNNNNNNNNNNNNNNNNNNNNNNNNNNNNNNNNNNNNNNNNNNNNNNNNNNNNNNNNNNNNNNNNNNNNNNNNNNNNNNNNNNNNNNNNNNNNNNNNNNNNNNNNNNNNNNNNNNNNNNNNNNNNNNNNNNNNNNNNNNNNNNNNNNNNNNNNNNNNNNNNNNNNNNNNNNNNNNNNNNNNNNNNNNNNNNNNNNNNNNNNNNNNNNNNNNNNNNNNNNNNNNNNNNNNNNNNNNNNNNNNNNNNNNNNNNNNNNNNNNNNNNNNGCUGGGCCUGGCAGGCGCCCUUGCUGCCUUUUUUUUUAAUUUUUGUAAAUUAUUUAUUGUUAAUUAUUGAUUGUUUAUUAAAUAUUAGGGUUUGUUUGUUAAUUAAUUAUAUAUUUGUUAAUUAUUAGUUGUUAAUUAAUUAUUAGGGUUUGUUUUGUAAAUUAUUUAACUUGUUAAUUAUUGGUUGUUAAUUAAUUAUUAGGGUUUGUUUUGUAAAUUAUUUAAUUGUUAAUUAUUGGUUGUUAAUUAAUUAUUAGGGUUUGCUUUGUAAAUUAUUUAAUUGUUAAUUAUUGGUUGUUAAUUAAUUAUUAGGGUUUGUUUGUUAAUUAAUUAUAUAUUUGUUAAUUAUUAGUUGUUAAUUAAUUAUUAGGGUUUGUUUUGUAAAUUAUUUAAUUGUUAAUUAUUGGUUGUUAAUUAAUUAUUAGGGUUUGUUAGUUCAUUAUUUAUUUGUUAAUUAUUGAUUGUUAAUUAAUUAUUAGGGUAUGUUAGUUAAUUAUGUAUUUGUUAAUUAUUGGUUGUUAAUUAAUUAUUAGUGUUUGUUAGAUAAUUAUUUAUUUGUUAAUUAUUGGUUGUUAAUUAAUUAUUAGGAUUUGUUAGAUAAUUAUUUAUUUGUUAAUUAUUGAUUGUUAAUUAAUUAUUAGGGUUUGUUAGUUAAUUAAUUAGGGUUAUUUAUUUGUUAGUAAUUAUUGAUUAUUAAAUUAGUGUUAGUUUUAAUUAGGGUUAUAAAUUAUUUGUUUACUUAGAUGACUACUCCAUCGAAUGAGAUAGAAACACCGGGAUCCAACACCUCUGGAUCCGACACUUAUAGGAGUCCGAGCGUAUCACCACGUGAAUCCCCCAGAGCUAAGAAGGCUCGUCUAGAGUUGGAACAUGACCCGACAUACGAGCCUCAAGCUGAUCCGGAUGAUGAUGAGAUAUAUAUUGUAGUAGUGUCUAUACAAUAGAAUACAUGUGUAUAUAUGUAUAUACCUAACAAUUGAAUGGACAGGAGGUGUUAUCUCAAGUUGUUGCCGAAAUGGAGGCAGAAGAACAAGAUGUUCAGAAGGACAUGGCGCCUCAAACGACUGGGACAUCCUCUGAGCCAAGAAGUAAAACAAAAAAGAGUGAUCGGGCACGAGGAGACAGAGGAAGCAAUAGAUUUCCAGAAGAAGUUUACCAGAUUAUAGAGUUAAGUCUGAGCGGAGAGCCCUUAGCACCUCUAGAGGCGCUACCCAAAUUUAGGGCCGCAAUUGAAUAUUUAGUAAAAGAGGAAUUUGAUAUCAGUUUGAGUGAUUGGAGUAUGGUGCCACAAGUGAAAAGGACCAGUUGCUGGAAUCGCUUGUGCACUCGAUUUAUUUUUCCCGAUGGUACAGAUGAAUUGGCCAAGGGUUAUGUCAUGAAGCAGUUGGCAAUAUCAUUCCGGGGCUAUAGGCACGAUAUGAACAAAAAGUGGUUGCAGAAGGGACGGGACCCGACGAAGCGGUACCCUAUCACAGAGGCUCAGUGGGCACGUUUUCGUUUGAUGAGAGAAUCAGACGAUGCGAAGGCUAAGAGCAAAGCCGCCUCUGAACUCGCGAAGAGGAACAAGUAUCACCACCACCUUGGCACUGGUGGUUAUAAGACCAAGAUUCCUAAAUGGAGGGCAGAAGACGAUGCAAAGAGGAGAGAGGGCCAUUUGGCAUUGACCGAUAUAGUGCCUGAAAGGAGUGCGAAUUGGCUUCGUGCUCGGAAGGCAAACACUGAGAGCGAUGAGAUGUCAUGUCCCGAUGAGAUUAGAGAAGUUGCCGACAAGAUUUUGGAAGCAUCAAACCUAGAAAAGAAAGGUGCCUUCAAGUCAUAGAGGGAGAGGGACAUCCUUACCCAUGCUCUAGGUAACCCCGAGCAUCCAGAACGUGUACGGGGAUUCUCCUCCAGAAUUAGUUGGAAAGAAGGAUUCGGUGAUGAGUGGAAAGGCAUGUAUAAGAAAAGAGACCGACAUAAGGAGGAAAUGAAAGAUUUUUUUGAGCAGCAGGUUGCAAAAAAGUUUAGGGAUAUGAUGGAAGACUUCUUUACAAAUCCUAAUCCUGAAGUGAUGAAGCGGUUGGCUGGAGCAGUGUUUGCUCAACAAAUGUCCUCACAAGCUCCUUCGCAUAUGCAGCUUGUACCAGCUCAACCCUUGGAGCGUCAGGAGAUGGCCUCACAAUCUAAGCCCUUUCCAAGCAGUAUAGCGUCAACAACAAAUGAGGACCAUUAUCCAGUUGAUGAUAUUGAUAGACCUUGGCCUUGCUCCUUGGUCAUAUCCUAUGGCCUUAAGAAUCAACAUACUAAGCAAGUGGCCACCGGUAAUGCUAUCCUAGGACGUACAUUCCAUACUGUUGACAUGCAAGAUGCAUACUGUAGGGUGGAAGUGUUGACGGUCGAGGCCGGAUAUGAAGACGACUUCAUAGACAUCCCGACCUCUGAGGGUAUAGAGAAGCUUGGACAAUCAAUCAAUAACUUCAUACAAUGGCCGAGACGGUACGUAAGGUUGAUUGAUCCACCAGCGCCACCCUCUCCAAGCAUAGUGCCUCAACAAUCCCAAGAGGCCGAAACAUAUCAACAACCACCAUCACCAAUGCAUGCUCCAGCAUCCCCGUACAUUUAUGAGCCACCACCAUCCUCCCCAAUACAUGAGAUGGCAUUCUUGCAGAAUGAGCCCGAGGUGCCAGCCAAGGAGAACAUGCCUGAGCAGCAGACUCCGCCAUCCAAGGAGAACAAGCAAACUCCCCCACCACCUCCAAAGGAGAAGGAGGAUGAGCAAACUCCCCCACCACCUCCAAAGCAGAAGGAAGAUGACCAAACUCCCCCAGCAGCACCGGCGUCAAAGAAGGUGAAGAAAUUUCCAAUUCCAAAAUUGAUUUCUCCCUUUGAGCCAAAAAAGGGGAAAGCAGCAGGCACAGCUCUCUUUCUUAAAGGACUUGGAAAGCAGCGGACAGCACGGCUUAUUGAGCUCGAACCGUCACAGAAAAAGGAAGCCACCGCCCAGUCAAUAGAAGCCAUGCCCCCAUCAAAGGAAGCCCCAAGUGGCGAUGUACAUGUCAAACAGCCAUCAAGUCAACCAUUGACCCUAACGGAUAUCAGAAAGCCAACGAUUGAUGAUUAUGUCAAUGUCCCCAGUGACUAUGUGCCUGGAAGGCCUAUGCUCCAAUGGACGAUGCUUGAUAAGAUUCAAUGGCCGAUAAAAAGAUUUCAUAACUGGUACAUGAGAGCAGUGCAUGCUGGCCUCCAUGCAAUCAGAGUUGAUAUACCAGCAGACGUGUUUGCUACUGGUAAUGAAAAAAGCAAGGCAUUUGUUACCUUUGAGGACAUGCACUUGUUAUUGAACUAUAGGCGGCUUGACGUCCAACUCAUAACAAUCUGGUGUCUGUAAGUAUCACUCAUGCACACACAAUUAUUAUUAAUAUGUAGUGUGAAACUCUAAUAUGUAGAUGUUGUCUGUAGUUUGCAAGAUCACGAGCAGAGGUCAUUAUUAUCUACCGGAUCGAUGGUCGGUUAUCUGAGCCCUAUCAAGUUACAAGAAAAUAUGCACAAAUUUGUACUAUCAAUGGACGAUAGAGCAAAGAUAGAGAAAGACAAAACACCAGAAGAAGUUGCAGAAGCUAUUAAAGAGUUGCAAAGAAAAUACGAGGAUAAUUAUGCCCUCUAUCUUGGUAGAUCAAUGCUGAGGUAUAAGUAUAGGGAUUUUAUAUUGGCACCUUACAACUUUAGGUAAGCUUGACUUCAUAUACGUACUUCAAAUAAUUAUCGUGCAAACAAUAUACAUGUGUCGCUCACUCAUUUAUUCAUGCAGUGACCAUUGGAUUGUUUUUUAUAUUUAUCCCUUCGAAGGGAAGGUGCUUGUACUAGAUUCUUUACAUGUUCCUCCCGAGAAGUAUCAACCAUUCUUGGUUCAAUUAGAAAGGUGAGCCAACAUAUGAAACCACAUGCGUACUUAUAUAAAUUAGAGUUUCGAAAUAACUUUAGUGAUUUAUAAUCGAUAUCUACAGGGCAUGGCGGUUUUAUAAGAGACAAAAGGGACCAGUCGAUGCCGCACGCUCAGAUCCUAGGGUGCCAUUGAUGAUACAACACCACUAUCCGGUAAGUUGUCCAAACACAUUUCAUCAUAUAAAUAAUACAUAAAGCAUGGCAAAUUUAGAAUAAUCCGUUGCUCAUUAUAUAGUGCCACAAGCAACCACCUGGAUCAGUCUAUUGUGGGUACUAUGUCUGUGAGUUUAUAAGACAGCGGAGACGUUACGUUAGGGACAAAAAUAUGGUAAAUAAUAUAUAUGUAUGAAGUUUUUUCAUUAAAGUUGCAAAAUUAUAUAUUGAACAUGUGUCAAUCAUGCUUUUAAACUUUGUUUGCAGCCAAAAAAGCAACGAAAGGACGUGCCCUUUACACCAAAGACGCUGGAAGAUAUAGUAGCAGACUUGUGUGGUUUCAUAAUGAGAGAAAUAAUUCCAAGUGACGGUGCAUAUUUUGAUCAUGAGGGCGAUUUAGCAAGUGAUAAAUUUAGAGUGCUGACAGACAUAGCAGGUCUAAAUCUGAAGCGAAAUGACAUGUAAACACUGUAUGGUUGUGCGGAUAACAUGCAUUAAUUGAUGUGUAUAUAUGUAAUUUUAUGGUUGAUGUUUGAUUUCAUGUUUACAAUUCUAUAAUAUAUAUAUGUGGUGUAUAUGUACGAUGUGUGUGUGAGUGUGUGUGUGUGUAUAUAUAUAUAUACAUAUAUAUGGUGUUUAGCACUGUGUUUGGUGGGAAAAAUUAAAAUUUGAAAUAUAUAUAUAAAAAAUUAUUUACAUAGGCAGUGUAGUGUGAGCCGCCUGUGUAAAUUACAUUUAUACAGGCGGCUCACAUUGUCAGCCGCUUGUGUAAAAGUUCAUUUACACAGGCGGCUGGCUAGGUGCGCCGCCUGUGAAAACCAUAUUUUCACAGGCGGCUCACACAGCACCGCCUGUACUGUGGUCCAUUUUGUACUGACCCCUGGUACAGGCGAUGUGCUCGGCCGCCUGUGAAGAUGCCUUUAGCGCCGCCUGUAAAAAUAUUUUCCGUAGUAGUGAAGGUGAGUGUGGUAAAAAAAGAAAGGAAAAAGGAUACACGGACGACUUGGUUCGAAACUAGCACAGCUACCGUUCCCCGGCAACGGCGCCAGAGAGCUUGUUGGGUAUUUUAAACGCAAACAGAAAAAUCCGUAAGCGCACGGAUACCGAUGUAGCCUUCACCCGGGAGUAUUCCAGAGUAUCGAUUUUCCACAGGGAACGUGAGUGUACUAAUUAAGAUCCAAGAUCGCCCAAGGAUAACUAUAUAAUUAUUUUUGGUGGGAAGAGAGGAAGUUUCCUGAGAGUUCUCUAGUUGAUCUAAGAAUCAAGAAUUACUUCAAGAUUAUCUAUUUCGGGACAUCAGAGCACUAACCACAGAAAGAGAUGAGAAGGGGGCUAGGAAGGUCUGACUACGGUCCUACAAACACCGAUCCGAACGAGGUGGAAUACGUCGACCGUUAGGGCUGUCACUACCCUAAGGCUACCACAACAAUCCGCAGGAUUGGGUGCAAUUCCAGGUAAUUGCAAGACUAAACACCACGUCUAAUCUAUUAAUUACUACUCUAAUGUUGCAAAGAUUAGAGCACUUGAUGCAAGCGGGAAUCCAAUAAAUAACUUGAAUGUAAAUAAAAGUAAUUAAAGAACUCAGGAUUAUGAAUUGAAGAACCUGGACAGCGAUGAAGAACGAACCAGUUGCUGCAAAAGUACAAUGUUGAGGAAGAUCCGACAGAUCCGGCUCCUCCUCCGCUCUCCUCUUCUCUCUCCCUAUUUUCUAGAUUACAACUAGAACUAACUAGAACUAGAACUAGAGGAACUAUAACUAGAACUAGAUGAGCUAGAACUAGAUCUAGAUGAACUAGAGGUAGAACUAGAAGAACUAGAGGGAUCCUCUCUACUUGGAUGAAGAAUUGAAACCCUAACUUUGAUUCUGUAGAAGAGGUAUGAUCUCUAGGGGCCAGGGGAUCUGGUUUUAUAGUCCCUUCAAGUGAAUAUGGGCCGUUGGACCAAACCAACAUUGAUCGCACGGUUUUCCUUGAUCCUUUAGGUCGGUGGAGCAUAAUCCGCGAAACAUGUCCUGAUUGGGCACUGUAGCUGGGCGGGCGCCCUGCCUCCGAGCCUGAUUUCCUUCCCGUUCGUUCCCGUUGCUUCUAGAGUCUUCUAGAUGAUAGAAAAUUGUGCGGUACGUUAAUAUCUCUAUGUAAACCCGACGUGUGGGCCUUUCUUCCGUAUUUCCUGAUAACCCCCUGCAGAAAUAGACAAACACCAAAACUCAUGGAAUUCUGUCAGAUAAAACCCUAAGUCUAGGUGUUAGUUGCAUUUGGAUCCUUUUCUAUGAUUAGUUGAUGGUUAAAUGUGAGCAUUAAGGACCGUCAACAACAACAGCGAUGCACCCGGAUGUCAUGGCCAAGAGGUGAUCACGCGGAACUUGAGAACGCGCCGAGCUUAAGUCGACGAAUUCCUAAGAACUCGUAGUAAAAAGAAAAUAUGACGAAGUCGUCGAAAAAGUUGAUGCUGGAAAAUGAGUAAAAACUUGUGUUUGAUUGAUUGAUAGAUUGUUCAUUACAAGGCCCUAGGGUCUACAUUUAUACCCUGCUCAAAGAGCUACAAUCAGACACGACUAGGACUCAAAUUCCAAAUUAAACGAAAUUCGUAUACAAAACGAAUUUAAAUAACUAAGGAAAACAUAAAACUAUCCCCUUGUAACCGACCGGGACACCGCCACAGAUCAAUCGGCAAUCUCCACGCUUUCCUUCAGAGUCAUCGGCAGACCUCCUCUUAUGGCCAUCGGCAACCACUAAUACUGAUCAUCGGCACGAACACGUCACCACCUCUGGACUUAGUCACAUUCAACUGUCUCUUCAUCGGCAACCACCCUCAUCGGCAACUUCCCUGCAGACUAGUUACCGUUACUCCAUCUGCCGAUCUAUACUUCACCAAUCUCCGGGUACGUGUCCAAAAACGGUGUCAACACCCGGCUCACCACAGCUGUAGCAUUUAUUAUCAUUGUUAGCAUUUGGUGCUUUUGGUGCACAAUUCAUUGGUGGAGCAUUGGGAACAUUUGUCUUUACUGGAGCAUUAUAUUGACUGGCUACUGACGUUGGUUAGGAGCUCUGUACUACUGCUGCUGGUGUGCACGUUGUGGUUGUUGAUUACGAUUGAUCAGACUCGACUGACCCUGAUAACGUUGCUGUUGAUAAGGUUGCUGGGAAUUGGUAUGGGUACGUGUGUUGUUUCCUGACUGUUGUCCUUGGAACUUCCUUUUCUUAUCUUCCAUCUGACGACGUUUGUUUUCAAUCACCAAGGCCUUGUCUACCAGAUACUGAAAACAUGCAAAAGUGUGGGAUAGCAGUUGAUACUGGAGCCCAUCAUUCAAACCUUCCAUGAAUAGUUCUUGCCUCUUCUCAUCAUUUUCCACUUCAAUGGGAGCAUAUCGUGACAAUUGUAUGAACUUGUCACGAUAUUCUGCAACAGACAUACCUCCUUGCUCGAGGGAGAGAAAUUCCUUCUUUUCAGUUUCAUUAGCCCAGCAGGGACAUGAUGAGAGCGGAAAGCAUUACGGAACUCCAUCCAGGUUAUCGGGUCAGCAUCUGUACGGCCAAAACGGAAUGAAUCCCACCAAUCAAGGGCAGCCCGCUGCAUACAACACUUUCUCUCUGUCAUUACACUGUGGUUGUCUUUCAAUAGCACGAAGCCAGUCAUCAGCUUCGAGAGGGUCGGUGGAGUGUUUGAAAACAGAUGGAUGUCCCUUCAAGAAUUCUCCUCUCUUGUCCCUAACAUGAGGAGGUGCAUUUCCAUUUCCAUUUCUGUUGUUCUGCAUAUUUUGAGCCAGCUGCAGCAGCAGUUGUGUUUGCAUCAUCAUCAGCUGCUCCAUAGUAGGAGGUGGUGGUGGUGGUGGCAAGUCCUCACCCCUCCUGUUCCUCCUAGUGUUCGCCAUCUGUACCGGAUACACAAUAUGAGUCUCAUAUGUCUAAGAUACUUAAUAUAUAUAUAUAUAUAUUUAGAGACAUAACAUGCUAGAAUUUAUAUCAUCUGAUUAGUUACGGGAUUACAUAUGUUGUGAGUACAAGGUAGUAUGCAUUCUGUAUUUUUCUGCUUUCCUCACUAAAACCACAGUGAAGUAAAACAAGCAUAUCUUUCCCUCUUUUUAAAGUCUGACUGCGAACGUUAACUUUCUGGAAAGCUUGGAAAUUUUCCUACAACUUUCAUUCAGAUCACUUUCUCAAAUUCUGGCGUUUACAUAGGUGAAAACAAAUGACAACUUUUACUGUUCUGGAAUUUCUGACUGCGCAGAGAGGUCACCUUGUAAUAAUUUUAUUUCUCAAACGUUCACAGAUAUUGAGGUGGUUCCAGGGCCGAUUGAAAGAUAUAGAAGUCUAUUUUAUUCCAUAAAUGUUUUGUAUUUUUAGACCGUCCAGAACUCGGGAUAUACAAAUAUUAAGGCAGACUGCUCAGAGGGAAAAACAUGGGUGGACAGCAAGAUAUAAGUAAACCCAACUAUUUAUUCAUAUUAUCCUUAGACCUUAGCCCUAAUCUAAAUGACUGCGGGCAUGCCCACAAUCAUUAAAAUCAUGACAAAAAUCCUACUCACCCAUUAAGAAUUAUUACAAACAUGCAUUCACGUAAUAGCAAUUGUUCAAUCAGUAGAAAAUAAAAACACACUCUCACAUCUCUAUGCGUACUUAUUACAAGUGGGGAAAAUCCUCCUAAGGGUCAAGGUUGGUGCCGGUGUUGGGGUCCUCUUGGUUUCUUGGGGGUGACUCUGCGAGGAUGAGUGGUACUUCUUCAACAUGACUCCCCUGCUGUUGCUUCAACAUGGCGUUCUCAACAGCCAACUCAAGGUAGGCCUUCCUCAGGGCAUCUAGCUCAUCUGAGACUUGAUCUAAGUCAGUGUUGGUUUGAGCCAAGCAUGCCAAGGUGGGUCGGAUCCUAGGGUUCCCUACCCCAAGUGGUGCAGCGAUGUUGUAGGAUGUCUGACCACUCCGCCGGCGUGGUAGAUAGCGAUCUUCUUCCCAUGCAAUAUCAGCAAAGUGGCGGUCGCGGUUUACCACUAAGGCCUGCCGGGCAGCGUCCCGGAUAGCUGCUGCGCGGGUAGUCCUGGCGGUGAUCGCACGGUGGAUGUAGCACACCCGACUUCCUUCUCGGAUGUAAGCUUCAGUCUCCCAAAAACCGAUGUAGUCGGGGUGGGUCCAAUGCUCGGUGCGGUACUGUACGGUACACCGGGUGUGAUAACGACGUGCGAGAGUAAGGAGCUUCGGGUGGUAAUAGGCGUCACCAUGCAAGUCAAAAUGGAUCACCACUGUCCAUCCCUUUGCCAGAAGUGCGGUAUGGUGAUCACGGCUAUCUCCAUCACCAUCACCAUCAUCACCACCACUGCCAUGGUCGUUCGAGUCAGAGCUGUCGGAACUAUCUACAUCAUCUAGAUCACCAGCACCCUCUUGUUCAUCUUGCUCCAUGGGCUCCUCUUCGGUGUCCUCAUCUUCAACAGGUUCCUCUAUCAUGGCUUCCUCCUCAGCAUCCUCAUCCAUGGGUACAUCCAUGGUUUGUUCCUCUUGUAGCUCCUCCUCAAUGUCUCUCAGUGCCUCAACCAGAUGCGGGGGAACACGCUUGCCUAGAAUGAACCUUGUCCUCUUGUUGGGCAUGAUGACACGUUUGCGAGCUGUCCACUUGGUACGGGCCAUCUAUAAGAAAAUAUAUGAGGAUUAGAACAAAAAAAUUUUCUUAAUAGAUAUUAGGCAGAUUAUAAGCAAUAAUUUUAUAGAAAAUAAUUAAUAAAAUAAGUGCUCAAGACCCUAAGAACGUCCAUUUCUAACUAGGCUGAUCGUCCUAUAGUCAGGCUAAGCUUUGAUACCAAUUUGUCGAACCCAGUUUUGAUAACAAAACCAAGUACGCAAAUAUGUGCGCCCAGGAUGUCCAAACACACAUAUUAUCACAAAUUGUAAAUAUAUCAAUGUAAAGUACUUUAUUACAUCGCAUAUUCAACUUAAACAUCUCACAUAGUCUUGCUCAUUGGCAACAUUAUUACAUAAAGCGGAAAGCUAAGCCCUUGCUGCCACAAGGACACCAACUGGUGAACACCAGAAUUCUAGAAGUCCUGGACAUCUCCAGGUGAAAGGAUCAAGAUGCCCAAGAGGGGGGGUGAAUUGGGCUUCUCUAAAAAUUUAAGCAACCUAUAAGCUCUAAUUCAACCCCUUGUGCCUAGUGUGACCUAGAGAGCUACCGGAUAAAAAGUUUUGCAACCUAGUUCCAAUCCUAUUCUAGCAUGGCAAUUCUAAGAAUGUAAAAGCACAAAGUAAAUGCUAGAAAGUAAAGGAGUAGUGGAAGAAAAUGCUCGGCGAUGUUUUGCCGAGGUAUCGGAAAGUCGCCACUCUCCACUAGUCCUCGUUGGAGCACCCGCGCAAGGGUCUUGCUCCCCCUUGGUCCGCGCAAGGACCAAGUGCUCUCUACAGGCAGAUUCUUCGACACUCCGUCGCGGUGAAUCGCCCAAAACUGCUCACAAGCUUGACACGAGCCACCCACAAGAACUCCAGGUGGUCUUCGUACCUCCAAUCACCACCGAACCGUCUAGGUGAUGGCGAUCACCAAGAGUAACAAGCAAAGAACUCUCACUUGACCCAAACAAGGCUCAAGAGAGUGGUGGAUGCACACUUGACUCUUGGAACUCACUAGAGAAGGAUUCUCUCAAGAAAUCACUCAAACUUCAAUCCUCUCUAGGCUCUUGCAACUCUCUUGCUCCACAACAAGUUUCUAUGAUGUUCAAAUAGGCAAGAGACCUCUCAUGGACGAGGUGGAGGAGUAUAAAUACUAUCCACGAAGUCCAAAGGUCGGCCAACCGUUUUCCACUGAAAACGGGGUCACCGGACGCACAUUAUGUUGCACCGGACGCACUGCACCGAGCGUCCGGUGCUUCAUAAUGGCUACCUGAACUUCUCUCUGACAGGUCACCGGACGCUAACUCCCAGCGUCCGGUGCACCGUCCGGUGCUCGGGGGAACUUUACAAGCUCCCUGCACAUGGGACCGGACGCUACCCGGUGCGUCCGGUGCUAGCGUUCGGAGCUCAGGGAAGGCUUGCAACCUCCCUGGGUAUGGGACCGGACGCUACCCGGUUCGUCCGGUGCUAGCGUCCGGUGCCUAACCCUAAGCACCACACUGUUCCAACGACUAAGGACCUCACCGGACGCACUCAUAGAGCGUCCGGUGCAGCGUCCGGUGCCCCUUUGGGCACCCAAACUUCGUCGAAACGCGAUCGCUCCAAAACGAAGUUGGUUCCUCUCGAUCUAAGGACUAUCUCUGAGCUACCUAGUGCUAGGUUUACCAAAUGUGCACCACACCUAAACCUAAAGCCUUGCCUAAGUCAAGCUACUAGAUCAAAGCACCUCUUAAUAGUACGGUCAAAGGAAAACAAAGUCCUAAACUAUUCUAAGUGCCCUUCUUCAUCAUAUGGCACUUAGACCUUGUCUAGUCUUGACGAUGUCCAUCCAUCCUUUGAAAACCGAAAACGAUUUCCACUAUUAAGUAGGCAUGUUCGUCCCUGUCCAUCGAGUACCUAUUUACCAUGACCUUACCUAUGACUUUGCCUCUGCAAAACACACGUUAGUCAUAGUAAUCAAUAAUGUCAUUAAUCACCGAAAUCACUAGGGGCCUAGAUGCUCUUUCAAUCUCCCCCUUUUUGGUGAUUGAUGACAAUCCUUGAGUAUGAAAAGAGUUGAGGUUUUUAAAGUGACUUGGUUUCAAUAAGCAUGUUGCAAUAAGAACAACGGGAUUAGUCAUGCUUAUAUCAACCGAGUCCAAUAUCCUGCAUCCAAAUAUGUGAGAGAUAUAUGACAGGAUAUAAACAUAAGGCUCAUAAGUACAUCGGAGUACAACGCGGAAGCAAAAGGUAAUAUGAGCCAAAACACAUGACAUUAAGAUAUCACAAUAACCACAAGUCAUGUCUCACAACCAUAGUAUCUCACACAAGUGCAAUGCAUAAAAGUAAACAUGAUGCAUGAUAAAGUAACACACAUAAAAAGUAUCUCAAAAGAAUAAAACUCCUAAACACUCUCACCCUCUCUAGCUCCCCCUAACUCCUAACUAACUCUCAUAUGCAAUCUCUCCCCCUUUGGCAUCAAGCGCCAAAAAGCUAAGAAGACGGUGGAUGAGGCGGAGCAGUGGAGUCCCUCGGCACGGCCACGAAGCGAGCUGCAUCAUCUGAACUGUCGGCCGUCGAGGCAGAGGAAGUAGAGUGACCCUCUGAAGCUGCAGGAGCUGGUGAAGCGGUCCGGGUCUGCUCUGGAGCUGUCACAGGUUGUGCUGGCUGCUCGAGUCCGACUGACGAAGCAGGCACGGGCUCGGUCGCGGUAGCUGUCGUCUCAGGUACUGUAGAAGAUGGUGCAAGCUGCUCGGAUGACGCUACAGACGACGACAGAAGCUCUGUAGUGGUAACUGGCACCGUAAAGACUGUAGGGGCCUGCAGAGGAGGAGGCGUAGGGUCACCAGUCAGAGCACUGUAGGUGAAGCUGAGGUGCGGAUCUGUCUACGAGUCCCACACAAGCUGUGAUGCUGAAGCUGACUGAGGAGUGAAGCCUGAGCGGAGAGGAGUAAACUGAGGUACCUGCUCAAAGCCUGAAGAGAUAGCACCCUGAGACACCUGGUGCUGUGGCGUCGAAAAUGGCUGACUCUGAGCUGGUAGCGGGAGAGGCUGCUGAGACGGGCUCUGAGUCUGGGGCGCCGGAGUAGGUGGCCUGACAGUCGAGGUGCCUGGGAGCUGAAUCUGCGGUAGCUGGAUCCCUGAGGCGGCCAUGAGAGCGGCCAUCAUCGCUGUCUGCUGGGCCUGGAAAGCAAGCUGCUGCUCCUGAAAGGUGAGAAGCUGACGCUGGAGCUCAUCCUGCCUGGCCUGCAUGGCUGCAUUGAUGGCAGCCUGGUCCCUGUCUCACCUCGCCUGCUCCUCAGCUGCGCGGCGCUGGUCUGCCCUCAUCCCCUCUAAGAUAGCAAGCAGGGCGGGGUCUGAAGCACUCGAAGAACCGCCUGCCUCGUGGUCGUGUGCUCUGGGAGGGAGAUCUGUCACUGGCGGCUGAUAGUCAUCAUCUGAGCUGUCUGACGCAAAAUCAAACUCUCCCUCAGCCUCUGCAUCGGCGAAAAUUCCAAUCGCUAUGUCCUGCUACUCCUCUGACUCUGCAACUGCUGUUGUACUGCGGGUGCCCCUAGGAGAAGGUGGGGGCACCGGUCCACGUGGAGCACGAGGAGGAGGUGUAGCGCGAAGGUCUUGGUGCGCUCUCAACAUCUGCCUGGGGUCGUAGUGGGGGAAGACGGUGUCUGACUCUGUGAACUCCCUCUGCAAGUGAGCUGGCAGGGGCAGUGGCCUAGCACGAAGUAUAAGCAAGGUGAUCCAAUGUGCGUAGGGCAACUGAUGCUGGCCCCUGAAGCUCUCUGAGAUGGUGUCCUCUAUCUCUGAGACAAUCAGAUCCCAUAGGUCAAACUGUGUCUGAGUGAUGAGGUGAGCAACGAGCCACUGCUGAAUACGAGUGAAUCCGUCUCUGUAGCCUGUCCUAGGGAGAAGAGUCUUCCUCAACACAAAGUCGAGGAUCCUAGCUGGGCGUGUCAAAUCUCCCACUGUCCUGCUGGAGCCCUCCCCAAAAGGUGGACGGAAACAGGGAGUCACGAAGUUAACCGGUGGUACCUCACCACCGUGAGGACGACGAGGGAGAUCCACGUUCCCGUAGCACAGCUGGUGAAUCCUGGUGGGAGAGGCUCGCAGUCCAAGCACCUCUCUAGCCCUCUGAGCUGUCACUCUGUAGUCUGUCCCUGCCAGUGCGUAGUGGAUAUAACUGUGAUCUGGAGAAACCCACACUGACGCGUAGAACUCUCUGACCCACUGCUCACAGUAAGUGCUGGGGAGUGCUAGUAACUCUGGAAGUCCGUGGAGGUAGGUGAAAUACUGACGAAUGUCUGCUCCAACCACGUUCCCCAGUAUCUCUAGGUCUAUCACUCUGUGCUCCCUGAACUGUGCCUGAGAGCGAACCAGUGCCUCGUAGAUGUCCUCCUAGACGACAGUGUAGAACCUGGCACCAGCUCUGGGAUCCCUGGCAGCUGGAAACCAGGUGGGAAACGGAACGAACCUCAGCUGCUGGAUCUCUCUGGCUGACACAAGAGUGAGAUCCCUGUGGAUCCUAACUGGCCUCUGUCGUGAAGCUGGAGUGCCUCUGGCUGGUGUGGCACGAGCAGUGGAGGUAGACUGACUCUGCGUACCAGUCCGAGGAGUGGCCUGGGUACGAGCACGAGUUGACCUCCUGACGGUCUGCUACUGCUCCUGCUCCUGUGCUGGACCCUCUGCCUGGGUCUCUAUCUCAGUCUCUGGAUCCUCCUGAGCCUGAUCCCUAACCACGAGCCUAAUCCUCUGUCCUCCAAUCGUCACGGUGCCAGGAGGGGAUCCAUGGAAUGCCUCUGUCUCAAGAACUGCACGCCGCUGCCGUGGCGUGAGGUCAUCCCCAAUCCUCAGGGCACCUAAACGACCACCCCUCUCGGCUGCCUCAGCCGCGGCUGCAACUGCCUCUGCGACCUCUGUCACUGGCCUUCCGCUUCUUGGUGGCCAGCUUCUUGCCUUUCCCUUUCUCUGCCACUGACAGGCGACGGGGAGGAUCACCUCCACCAUCACCCCCUGGGGAACCUCCUGAGCCAGCUGCCGGACCACUGACGUUCUUGGUACGAGCCAUUGCAAAACAAGCGUCCGACAAACAACAGACUGACAAUGGAGAACAACGCGUUGCAGAUAAUAGACAAGAUAGGGUAUAUAUAAGAAAUUAUAACAACUAGAGGUGAGUGAACCCUAUAGAUCGCAAGAGUAGACGAGGAACGGGAGCGAAUAGCUUAAGAUCCACAAACGAGAUGCGUUCCGGAUGAAAUAUCACGAUCGGAAACUGUCAGAGAACGCGUAUCUUCUCCUUAAGGUGCCGCACAGGGUUAACGAAGAAGAUCGAGGUCAAUAACCCUUUUCUAAUCCAAUGAAACGAAACCUCAAACACCUUAAGGGCAUGAACCAAAGGACUCACCCAAACCCUUGAAAUCUCGCGAAAACAGAUCCACGCGAGAAGAGGAGGGAGGGGGACGAGUCCGCGGCGGAUCUGGCGCGAGGAAACCUCCAAGGACGCCGGAGAUUGGCGUCAACGACGGCGGCGGCGAAGUCGGCGAGAUGGCUUAGGGCUCGGUUGCGGAAGACUUCGCGAGAAGAGAAAGAAAACUAACCGAUCAAGAUCCGGGGGCGCGGGUUAAAUGCGCUGUCCGCGGGGUCACCGGACGCUCUUUAUGUGGCACCGGACGCGUCCGGUGACCACCGGACUCAUGCGCAGAGAGGUCUGCAAAUCUGCAUCGCACCGGACGAUGGGCACCGGACGCUGGCUUUAGCGUCCGGUGCUUCAGGUCACACUAGGUGAGCACCGGACGCACCUCACCGGACGCUGCAGGGACACUGUUCCUGCGUCCGGUGAGUGCAGUCUGGCACACUGUUGGGUAUUUUAAACGCAAACAGAAAAAUCCGCAAGCGCACGGAUACCGAUGUAGCCUUCACCCGGGAGUAUUCCAGAGUAUCGAUUUUCCACAGAGAACGUGAGUGUACUAAUUAAGAUCCAAGAUCGCCCAAGGAUAACUAUAUAAUUAUUUUUGGUGGGAAGAGAGGAAGUUUCCUGAGAGUUCUCUAGUUGAUCUAAGAAUCAAGAAUUACUUCAAGAUUAUCUAUAUCGGGACAUCAGAGCACUAACCACAGAAAGAGAUGAGAAGGGGGCUAGGAAGGUCUGACUACGGUCCUACAAACACCGAUCCGAACGUGGUGGAAUACGUCGACCGUUAGGGCUGUCACUACCCUAAGGCUACCACAACAAUCCGCAGGAUUGGGUGGAAUUCCAGGUAAUUGCAAGACUAAACACCACGUCUAAUCUAUUAAUUACUACUCUAGCGUUAUAAAGACUAGAGCACUUGAUGCAAGCGGGAAUCCAAUAAAUAACUUGAAUAUAAAUAAAAGUAAUUAGAGAACUCAGGAUUAUGAAUUGAAGAACCUGGAGAACGAUGAAGAACGAACCAGAUGCUGCAAAAGUAUAAUGUUGAGGAAGAUCCGACAGAUUCGGCUCCUCCUCCGCUCUCCUCUUCUCUCUCCCUAUUUUCUAGAUUAUAACUAGAACUAACUAGAACUAGAACUAGAGGAACUAGAACUAGAACUAGAUGAACUAGAACUAGAUCUAGAUGAACUAGAGGUAGAACUAGAAGAACUAGAGGGAUCCUCUCUACUUGGAUGAAGAAUUGAAACCCUAGCUUUGAUUCUGUAGAAGAGGUAUGAUCUCCAGGGGCCAGGAGGGUCUGGUUUUAUAGUCCCUUCAAGUGAAUCUGGGCCGUCGGAUCAAACCGACAUUGAUCGCACGGUUUUCCUUGAUCCUUUAGGUCGGUGGAGCGUUGUCCGCGAAACGUGUCCUGAUUGGGCACUGUAGCUGGGCGGGCGCCCAGGAGAGUUGGGCGGGCGCCCUGCCUCCGAGCUCGAUUUCCUUCCCGUUCGUUCCCGUGGCUUCUGGAGUCUUCUAGAUGAUAGAAAAUUGCGCGGCACGUUAAUAUCUCUAUGUAAACCCGACGUGUGGGCCUUUCUUCCGUAUUUCCUGAUAACCCCCUACAAAAAUAGACAAACACCAAAACUCGUGGAAUUCUGUCAGAUAAAACCCUAAGUCUAGGUGUUGGUUGCAUUUGGAUCCUUUUCCAUGAUUAAUUGAUAGUUAAUUGUGAGCAUUAAGGACCGUCAACAAGCUCCCCCAAGCUUAACCUUUGCUCGUCCCUGAGCAAAGAUGAACUCAAGAGUUUCUGCAGUGGUUUCAUAACUUAAAGAUACACAUGCGUUUAAACAAGAUCUCAUCUUUGGUUAGAGUAAACUGUUAAGACUUAAAACUUACUCAUUUACCUUUCACCAUGGGACUUGUAACCGUCACUUCUGUCUUGAGCAGUUAAAAGAUAGAACGGUCUAGUCAAGCGCCAUGUCUCUUGUUCUUCGAUUAACUAUAGCUCUAGAGUUUUUGCAGAUUUUCAAAUAAAACUCAGAGAUUCCUUGUAUGACUCUCUCUAGUCUCUCUUUUGUGGUAUUUCUGGAUCCUUACCAAGGCAGUAAAGGUGUAUGCCUUCUCUCAAAGUAUGUGGUAUUUUUGGUAUGAGUCAUAGUGACAUUGCCUUCUCUCUCACCCUACUCUAAUAAGGUUUUGAUAUCUGGAGCUCAUAGGUGGGAGACAGCUAAUACAUACUUACAAGACAUUUAUUGCAUAGUCAAACCAUGGAUCCAGAAGAACAAGUCAAUAAGUCAAAUCAAGAUGUGCAUGUGUGGCGAAUGAAUGGUGUAUGGUGAUGAUGGUGAUAACAAUGGUGAAAGUCUAAUUCUACUUGUGCUCUUUUGAGGGGAUACAUACCUUUCUUGCUGUUUUGAAACUUUUUGAGGAGAAUGAGAUGCUCUAUAUUUUCUUUUUUUUUCUUUUCUCUCAGGUGGGUAUCUUGUACCCCUAAUUCUACUGUCGGACACUUGUCCAUUUUUACCUCUCGUCUCACUUUUUUUUCUUUCGAGGUUCCGGGCACUUGCCCCUUUUUAUUUCCUUGUAUUCACUUUUUUUUUCUCUCUCUCUUCUUUUUUUAGAGCACUCAUCUCAUGAGAUAAUAUAGCAAGUGGUAGUAACCAAGAUAACUUGAGCAUUUAUUUCAAAGGGGAAAACAGAAAUAUUUUUGGCUAUUCUCUCCCAGAUUAGGAGUAGAAUAUUUUUGAGUGGUUGUGGAGAUGGAAAUGAGUGGAUGUAUGUGGAUGCGUAGAAGCAGCAUGUGUGAGUGAACGUGCAAAUGAAUCUUGAUUUAACCACAUGACAAGCUCCUAAGGGUCUACACAGCUUGACCACACUCAAUGCUCAUAAGCAGUAAAAAGUAAAUGUGUGGCUCAUAGUCUAGCAAGCAUGUAUAUAUGGCUGUGGUAGAAAUUUAAACUCUCAUCAUACAGGAACUCAUCAUGCAACAAUUUAAAGAUUUUCAAAGACAAAAUUCUCCAGAAUUCUAGCAUCUCUAGGAAUAGAUAAACAGCAGCUCAACCUUCCCAUAUCAUAUCCGUUAACGACUUAGAAGUUAUAUCAAAUACUCUUCCCACAAGUUCAGGUUUAGAGCAAAUCUUAAUUAAUAACAGUCAUGCCUAAACUUGAGAGAGAUUUCAAUUUUGAGAACUAGUCAUGACAGAGCAACUAUUCAUCAUUUCCAAGUGAGAGCUUAUCAUGAGGGUUCAUAGCAAAUUUUAUUUAUUUAUUUAUUUAGCAAACUAAGAAAAGAUAUAUAUGCACAAAAUCUUUAUUUAGGUUUAUAUGAUUAUGCAUCUUUUUAUUAUUAGAGUAAAGUAUAAACGUGAGUAGAAUACUUAGCUGGAUAAAUGGGGGUGCUCUCCCCUAAACUGGAUUUGACGCAAUUUCUUCUAAUGUAGCUAGCAGGUGGCGGAGGUGUAUUUGAAUGUCGGCAGCACCCUGACAGUGAUUAGGAUGCCCUCCGUCUACUAGUCUUCUUUGAUCCUUGAAUUCUGUGGAGCUCAAAUAGACAACAAAGCUUUGUGGAACUAGUUAAGUGUUAGCAUAAAUAUCUAGCCUUUAUCAUGUUGAGCCUCCUCAAUAAAUGUUACUCUCUUUAGUAGGAUCAUAAAUUUAUUUUUAUAUUUUCAUUUAUAUAGGACAGGAAUAUAUAUAUUUAUUUUUACGCCACCACAGUGAAUGUACUUAUGGGUUUUAUGCCAUGAGCAUACUCACAUGGGGCUUACUAUUUUUAACAUUUUUAUUUUCUUUUCAAGAUAGCAUGAACCUGGUUAACUAAGCAAACUAUUUUAAAUAAUUGAAAGGAAAAGGAUAACUACCAAGUUUACCUCUUGGCAAGGCGUUCGGUGUUUUUAAGUCCUCCGAACGAGACUCUCUGUUUUCUCAAUCGUCCUGG
rnacentral:lncRNA from 1 species